GCAAGUCGAACGAGUUCUGAUUAUUGAAAGGUGCUUGCAUCUUGAUUUAAUUUUGAACGAGUGGCGGACGGGUGUGUAACACGUGGGUAACCUGCCCUUAAGUGGGGGAUAACAUUUGGAAACAGAUGCUAAUACCGCAUAAAUCCAAGAACCGCAUGGUUCUUGGCUGAAAGAUGGCGCAAGCUAUCGCUUUUGGAUGGACCCGCGGCGUAUUAGCUAGUUGGUGAGGUAACGGCUCACCAAGGCAAUGAUACGUAGCCGAACUGAGAGGUUGAUCGGCCACAUUGGGACUGAGACACGGCCCAAACUCCUACGGGAGGCAGCAGUAGGGAAUCUUCCACAAUGGACGCAAGUCUGAUGGAGCAACGCCGCGUGAGUGAAGAAGGCUUUCGGGUCGUAAAACUCUGUUGUUGGAGAAGAAUGGUCGGCAGAGUAACUGUUGUCGGCGUGACGGUAUCCAACCAGAAAGCCACGGCUAACUACGUGCCAGCAGCCGCGGUAAUACGUAGGUGGCAAGCGUUAUCCGGAUUUAUUGGGCGUAAAGCGAGCGCAGGCGGUUUUUUAAGUCUGAUGUGAAGCCCUCGGCUUAACCGAGGAAGUGCAUCGGAACUGGGAAACUUGAGUGCAGAAGAGGACAGUGGACUCCAUGUGUAGC
rnacentral:rRNA from 1 species